rnacentral:lncRNA from 1 species
GACGAUUGCUUGGUUUUUUCAAAAGGGAGUUUUGUGCGGUGAGAAGUGUGUUUCUGUGUGGCUAACUCUGGGCUAGCGUGCCGUGGCCAUUGAAGGUGUGGCCUGCGUGGGUGCAGUGUAAGUGACGCUGGAUUGUCAGGUGGCAGCAGGGGACCCCUGCUGUGUCAGUGCUAAUGAAACAUGUUGGUUGGUUUCUAAAAUAAAGCCAAACAAGCCAGCACAUGCAGAGGCUUGGACCCUGA